rnacentral:lncRNA from 1 species
CCUCUAUUUCACUUAGGGCUCCUUUGGCAGCCCGGGAUACCACCGGGAUCCCGGCCCAUUCCCUGGGAGAAAGGCCCGCGGGGGAAAUUGCCACGGGUAUUAUUUCUGGUCCAUUUGGAAGCCCACGAGGCAGGGAUUUCCCAGCCCAAUCCGCGGGGAAACCCCAGGGAAAGGAACCCGACCUCUCGAGGUCAGGAAAUUUUCCUCUCCCGAUCCGCCGCUCUCUCUCUCGCGCAAAAGCGGCGACCAAGAGCGGGCGCCGCCGUGCCUCCUCCUCCGGCGAGACGCGCCACCACCGGACUCUUCCUCCGGCGAGAAGGGCACAGAAGCGCGGCGGUGACGCGGCGGCGCGCCGGUAGCACGGGCUCACAGCACCGGCGGAGGACAGGGGGGAGAUCCAAGGCGACGCCACGCACCGGCGGAGGAGGCAUUGAGGCGCAGAUCCAAGGCAGCAAAGAAUUUGGUUUGUUUCUUGAUUUGUGGAGGGAUGGGUACACGCAGGUGCUAGGGUUCAAUGGAGUUUCUGCUAGCAUUUUCAAAGGAAUGGAGCGUGGAAUUCCCCUCGUGGGAGUCUUCCAAAUGAACGUAGGGGAUUUUUCCCUCACGGGAGCAACUUCCCUAGGAAAUGAAGGGAGUUCAUAUGUCACAGGGAAGAUCCCCUUGGGGGAUUAUUUCCCAGGGGUUUUCUCCCCGUGCAUCCAAAGGAGCCCUUAG